AUUGAACGCUGGCGGCAGGCCUAACACAUGCAAGUCGAACGGUAACAGAAAGCAGCUUGCUGCUUUGCUGACGAGUGGCGGACGGGUGAGUAAUGUCUGGGAAACUGCCUGAUGGAGGGGGAUAACUACUGGAAACGGUAGCUAAUACCGCAUAACGUCGCAAGACCAAAGAGGGGGACCUUCGGGCCUCUUGCCAUCGGAUGUGCCCAGAUGGGAUUAGCUAGUAGGUGGGGUAAAGGCUCACCUAGGCGACGUUCCCUAGCUGGUCUGAGAGGAUGACAGGCCACGCUGGAACGGGGGCACGGUCCGGACUCCUACGAGAGGCAGAAGUGGGGAAUAUUGACGAAUGGGCGCAAGCCUGAUGAAGCCAUGCCGCGUGUAUGAAGAAGGCCGUCGGGUUGUAAAGUACUUGCAGCGGGGAGGAAGGGAGUAAAGUUAAUACCGUUGCUAAUUGACGUUACCCGCAGAAGAAGCCCCGGCUAACUCCGUG
rnacentral:rRNA from 1 species